AGAACGAACGCUGGCGGCAGGCUUAACACAUGCAAGUCGAACGCCCCGCAAGGGGAGUGGCAGACGGGUGAGUAACGCGUGGGAAUCUACCCAGUUCUACGGAAUAACACAGGGAAACUUGUGCUAAUACCGUAUACGCCCUACGGGGGAAAGAUUUAUCGGGAUUGGAUGAGCCCGCGUUGGAUUAGCUAGUUGGUGGGGUAAUGGCCUACCAAGGCGACGAUCCAUAGCUGGUCUGAGAGGAUGAUCAGCCACACUGGGACUGAGACACGGCCCAGACUCCUACGGGAGGCAGCAGUGGGGAAUAUUGGACAAUGGGCGCAAGCCUGAUCCAGCCAUGCCGCGCGAGUGAUGAAGGCCUUAGGGUUGUAAAGCUCUUUCAGUGGGGAAGAUAAUGACGGUACCCACAGAAGAAGCCCCGGCUAACUUCGUGCCAGCAGCCGC
rnacentral:rRNA from 1 species